UACUGAUAGACGUUAUGGUAACUGCUGCCUUUAAAAACAUUUCACGUUUGCCGUUGGAGUGGGGUAAGGGGGAGGUCGGCCUUGAUUUCCAAAUGAUACAAUAGGUACCCCGAAUGAAGCUGCUGGUUGUUUGGAUUGGAACUGACCACCCAGACCCUCCCCAGUGAGUGCACAGGAACCACACAACAAGAGCACUGCUGAUUCGCUGACAGAGUCUGUUGGAAGGUGUGGGCGUGGCUUGUGGACUGGCUAGCUAGCCUGGAUUAUAAAUUGCUCUGCUUUCUGAGCUGGAGGAUACCGGAGACAUGAGGGCUUCUGUGGAUUGGCCUGAAGGGGGCAGACUCUGGAUAUUUGCAAGAGACUUAAGUAUCAUAUUCUAAUAGAAAAAUCUGAGCGGACUGUGCAUGUAUUAUCUAUAUAUAUUUUUUGUCAAUUUCUUUUCUAUUGUAUUAUGUUGGGUUUUUGUAUAUCUGUGCUUUGUUUGUUGUUACCUGAAUUAUUUGUUUUCUUAUUGGUGCCAGCUUAAUUGUGAUGUUUACUGUAGUAAGUAAAAGAGGGACAUUGUGAAUGGAAUAGCAUUUCUCAAAUUAUAUGAGUAUUCAUACUUACCUCUGUGUUGAUUUUGUGUGCUCCUUUGGGUGGUCCAUGUGGCAAAUCUGUGUGUUAAGAACCUGUAAAGCAAAGUAUAGGCAAAUGUUAUUGGUGAAUACUUACCUGUGACAUAUUCACUGAAGGAUUCUUUCCUACACUGUUACUCUGGCAAAAAUCUUACAUGUAGCAUGUAAUGAGUUAUUCCCCAGCACAUAUUAAUGAGAAAACACUCAAUAGCUUUGUUUCAGUUACUGGUUCUGUAAGUUUAAAAUAUGUUUAAAUAGGUUUAACUGUAUUAAAAUAAGCAUGUUUAACACUGGACAAUCGCAACUGAAACACAAUUGACCUGGAUUUGUAUAUGUGAAAUCUCUCUGGAACAAAAACUCCCAGAAAUGAUUAAGUCUGUUGCAUUACCAUAUUCAGCUGUACAGAUGAACUCAUAUGACAAGUACUGUGCAUCACUUGCCUGUUUUUCCAGUUAGUAGAUGCACUUAUAUUUUUACUAUUCUUUCCAAAGUGCAUCCUUCUAGUAAUCAGUAACUGCAAUAAUCUAGCAAUUAGGUUCCUUAAAUAACUUAUGUAGCAAAAUAGCGACAUAAGAGAGUAGCAAAUAACCAGAAGGGGCUGGUUUCUAACUUGGGUGUAGUCUGUUGACAAAACUCUUUCUGUUAUGGUUGAAUAAUGCUGACUACUUAAACUGUGACGUCUAAAUCAUGAUGUAAAGAUUGAUUGUGUUGCUAAGAUUUGGUCACUGUGGGGACACAAACACCACAACUCUACAGCCCUACACUCAGACUCUCCAUUCCCAAGGCAUCACAAAACAGCCAGAUAAGAGCUACUGUUGCCAUUAUGCAAAAUGUGUGCCAUCGACUUGUCUGCGAUACUGACAAUAGAAUAACCUGAGCCCCACAGAAAUGAUGGGGGACUCAUUUAGGACCUAUUACUGUGGGUUCAUCCCUCUGGGAGUUGAUUAGAGCUGAACCCAUCAGUGAUUUCCUUCUUCCCUGUUUCUCACUCACAGCCUGGUACUGUAUGAAUUAUUCUGUUUUAGUUGACAGUGGGUUCUCUUAGGAUUUAUUGUAAACUCCAGGCAUCUGAGCUCUCACUGCCUGACUACUCCUAUUUUUCCAACCCUAUGCUCAAGGCUGUUUAUGCUGUUUCUUACGUAAAGUCAAGAAAACAAGCAAGUAGUGCAGACAGCCAACGGAAACUUAACUGUUAUAGAUGUGGGGGGAAAGCGGGCACCUGAUUUAUGUAAUUUUAAAGAUGCUGAUUUUUUUUUUUCUGUAAAAAAACGUGGCCAUAUUACAAGAGAGUGUUGUAAUAAGAAGAAAGAUACAGUGAUACAACCUAGGAAGGAAGAAUCUAUGUACAUGGUUGAAGAGGAUAGUGAAGUCUACACAAUGUUCACUUUCAGAAGUAGACAGCAGAGAGAAAAGUCCAUGACAGUAGAUAUUUUUACAAAUGGGCAAGAUACUUGUGCUUCAGUAUUGAUAAUUAGUGAAUCAACCUACAAGAGAAAUUGGUCUAUGUGGAGCACACCUACUCUUAGCACUUCUGACAUAGAUCUUCACACCUAUACUAAUCUACUUGGUUGGGACUCAGUUAAAACUGAACUGGGCAGAGCUAUUUUAGACACAGGUUACAUUGUACCAAACACUUUUGGAGAAACAUUGUGGCCCCCAUAGUCCAGGAGGGCAGUGUAUGGAUAUGUGGGGACUAUAUGGUUACAGUAAACCGUGCAGCAAAGCAUAACCAAUCUCCAGGAUUGAGGACCAAUUAAUUUUUUGUUUUUGUUUACUUUCUCUGGUGGAUGCUCCUUUGCUCCCUUACCAAAAAGUACUAUAGUAUAUUAUAGUACUUUAUAGUAAUACUAUAGUACAUCAUAGCAGUACUAUAGUACUUUAUAAUACUACUAUAGUCCAUCAUAUUUGUACUAUAGUACUUUAUAGUAAUACUACAUUACUUUAUAGUAAUAAUAUAGUAUUUUAUAGUAAUACUAUAGGACAUCAUAGUAGUACUAUAGUAUAUUGUAGUACAUUAUAGUAAUACUAUAGUCAUUUAUGGUAUUUUAUAGUAAUAUUAUAGGACAUCAUAGUAGUAUGAUAGUAUAUUUUAGUACUUUAUAUUAAUACUGUAUAUCAUAGCAUUUUGUAGUAGUACUUUAAGUACUACCUGUACUUUAAUGCAGUUCUUAUUACCGACUUAUCUGUCAGAUCUUUUAUCUUUUUACACUCCUACUCGCAACCUCCGCUCUGCUGAUCUCAGACUGCUGUGUGUCCCGCCUGUUCGCCUGUGCUCUAUGGGCGACAGGGCCUUCUGUUGUUAUGCCCCCAAAUUAUGGAGCUCAAUUCCACUAGAGAUCAGGGACUCAGCUUCUUUGAGUGUUUUUAAAGCUAAUUUAAAGACUUAAUUUUUUAGAAAGGCGUUUUUAUGAUUUUUAUGAUUGUUUUAUUUCCUUGUGCUUUUUUAUGUAUAAUCUUUGUAUUUUAUUUCUGUACUAUUAAUUGUGAAGCGCUCUGAGUUGAUUGCUUUUAAGGGCGCUAUACAAAAUAAAGUUGUUUAUUAUUAUUAUUAUUAUUAU